ensembl:processed_transcript
CCCAGAUUGGGACUUCAACGCCGCUAAAGUGUGGCGUCUAUUACUUGAGAUUGCAUGGCUCAAACACUGGCCAAAGGCUAAGGCUAGAGAAAGUUUGUGUGCUAUCUGAAGUUUCAGUGCUAUCUGAAAUGCUCAGGAGGACUACCCAGCUGCAGGGCAAGGACCAGAUGCCCACACAAACCAGAACGUAACUGCACUCAGUGCGAAAUCCUUGUCAUUAGUAGCCCCACUGUGCCUUUGAGGAGUUGGUUCAUUGCCUUUGUGGUCAGCAAUAGCAGUAACCGCUGCGAGAGCAGCAGUGACAGCAGCAGCGACCACAGCAUUAACAGUAGCGUUGGAGGAGGCCACAGCAGAAGCAGCUGCCGCUGCAGCCGCAGCAGCAGCAGAGGCAUCAGAGGCGGAAGCGGAAGCAGAGGCGGAAGCAGCGGAAGUGGAAGCUGCCGAAGCAGAGGAGGAAGCAGAUUCCGCAUAAGUAGAGGCUGAAACAGCAGCUACAGCAGCAGCAGAGGCAGAAGCAACAGCACAAGCUGUUCUGUCGUCAGAGUUCUCCAGUGCUACAUUCGGUUCCUGGAGUCCGUACUUCCUCUCUUCUUCAACCUUUAAGGGAAUUCAGGCUGUGUUACUGUUCAUUAAAAUGGAGUUUUAUAGAUUCAUUUAUUUUAUUACUAGUCAGUGCCAUGGUCCACAAAUAUUUGUGUUUUAAUUUUAUCAGUACAGACCACUGACAUUUUGUAAGCUCUGCUUCACUUCUGUUUGAGUAAGAGACCCAGGAAUUUUCAGAAAUCUUAAGGGGACAUGCUCUGUCUGACUUUUAAAUUUUUGCCCUUUGCUGCUAAGCAAUGGUGGACACACCUUUAAUUCAAGCACUCAGAAAGCAGAGGUAGACUGAUCUGUGUGAGUUCCAGAACAGCCAGGGCUACACAGAGAAACCCUGUCUCAAAACAAAACUAAACUAAACAAAACAGCCCUGGUUUUUUUAUUGUUUGUUUGCUUUUGUUUGUUUGUUUGUUUGUUUGCUACCUGACACAUUCACUUCCUUAGUGAUGUGAAGAAAUAUCAAGAAAAGGACAGUGUAUAUCCUCUCCAGUAUAGAUUUUACAUUAAUAGCCAGAUUUAGAGACUGUGACAUUAAAGAGAUUGUGGAAUAAAAGGAGCCUCACCCUUCUGCUCUAUAUCAGUCUUUCCUCGUGGUCGCUCACAAUUGCUCACUGGGAUCCUGGGGUAGCAAAUCAGUGAAGGUGGCCUUUGAAAUGCAUGAACAACGCAUGCCACUACCCACAGCGGAGGGGAGCAGCUGAGCUGCAAGUAUGGACUCUGGAGAUCCCUUCCGACCUCUCACUCCUUAACCAUGACUGUUACACCUGAGGGACAGCAGGUAAUGGCUUGCUACAUACAGCAGGAGUUAUGUGAACAAAGCCUGGAGGAGCACUCUAAGUGAUGGAUUGGUACUAUCCAUUGGUUGAUAAAUUUCCAUAAGGCUGACUCAGUCAGGUUACCCAGAAAACCCACUGAACCAGCUAAAUUUAAGAACUGUGAGUUUGGGGCUUGGAGAGAUGGCACAGCAGUUAUGAGUCCUAGGAUUUGGUUCCAAGCACCCACGCAGGGGCUCACAUCUGUCUGAAACUCCACUUCCAGGGGAUCCAAUCCCUUCUGACCUCAGUGGGAGCACCAGGCAUGCAUAUGGUGCACAGGCAUACAUGCAGGCAAAACAUUCAUACCCAAGCAUACAGAAAAGUUUUAAAAAAAAAAAAAA